rfam:Larimichthys crocea isolate SSNF unplaced genomic scaffold scaffold211, whole genome shotgun sequence.
UUUGACUCAACACAAGAAAUCUCACCUGGCCCGGACACGGAAGCGAUUGACAGAUUGAUAUCUCUUUCUCGAUUCUGUGGGUGGUGGUGCAUGGCCGUUCUUAGUUGGUGGAGAGUCUGGUUAAUUCCGAUUAAUUCCGUUUUUCAUAGAAAAACACCCAUCACAUGUUAAGUUACUGGAAACACUCCACUUGUAGUUUCAUAGUGUCAUCCAGAAAUUGGCAGCAGAGAACUUGUUUGCUUGUUAUAAAAUGACUCAC